UACGGGGGGAGCAAGCGUUGUUCGGAUUUACUGGGCGUAAAGGGCGCGUAGGCGGUCGUGACAAGUCACUUGUGAAAUCUCCGGGCUUAACUCGGAACGGUCAAGUGAUACUGUCGGACUAGAGUACAGAAGGGGCAACUGGAAUUCUCGGUGUAGCGGUGAAAUGCGUAGAUAUCGAGAGGAACACCAAUGGCGAAGGCAGCUCGCUGGGACGUGACUGACGCUGAGACGCGAAAGCGUGGGGAGCAAACAGG
rnacentral:rRNA from 1 species